GCCCGCCCCGUGACCUCAGGUUCCCCGGCAACGGGGAUGAAAAGGGAAGUCCGGUAAAGCCGGCGCUGCCCCCGCAACUGUCGUCGGUGAGGUGGAUGCGAACAUGCCACUGGAACAUCGGUUCCGGGAAGGCCGCGUCCUCCGAUGAUCCGGCAAGCCAGGAGACCUGCCCGAGCGUCGCCGUUAUC
rnacentral:ncRNA from 1 species